AUGAACGCUGGCGGCGUGCCUAAUACAUGCAAGUCGCGCGAACGGACGAGAAGCUUGCUUCUCUGAUGUUAGCGGCGGACGGGUGAGUAACACGUAGAUAACCUACCUAUAAGACUGGGAUAACUUCGGGAAACCGGAGCUAAUACCGGAUAAUAUUUUGAACCGCAUGGUUCAAAAGUGAAAGACGGUCUUGCUGUCACUUAUAGAUGGAUCCGCGCUGCAUUAGCUAGUUGGUAAGGUAACGGCUUACCAAGGCAACGAUGCAUAGCCGACCUGAGAGGGUGAUCGGCCACACUGGAACUGAGACACGGUCCAGACUCCUACGGGAGGCAGCAGUAGGGAAUCUUCCGCAAUGGGCGAAAGCCUGACGGAGCAACGCCGCGUGAGUGAUGAAGGUCUUCGGAUCGUAAAACUCUGUUAUUAGGGAAGAACAUAUGUGUAAGUAACUGUGCACAUCUUGACGGUACCUAAUCAGAAAGCCACGGCUAACUACGUG
rnacentral:rRNA from 1 species